UACGAGAGGCCCAAACGUUAUUCGGAAUUACUGGGCUUAAAGAGUUCGUAGGCGGUAUGAAAAGUAGGGUGUGAAAGCCCUCGGCUUAACCGAGGAAUUGCGCUCUAAACUGUCGUACUCGAGGAACCUAGAGGUGAGCAGAACAGAUGGUGGAGCGGUGAAAUGCGUAGAUAUCUGGAGGAACACCGGUGGCGAAGGCGGCAUCCUGGACCGACACUGACGCUGAGGAGCGAAAGCCAGGGGAGCAAACGGG
rnacentral:rRNA from 1 species